UUUCCAAUCUACUUGCAAAUGGGAAAUGCGGACUUUUGUAAAAUCAGCAGGAGAGACUCACACCUAAGGAAAGUUUAAGUGUGGCUAUUAUCCUGCUAACCUGAGAGUUAACUAUCCUCUCAAAUGAAACACCGAGCUCCCAGUAGAAUUUUACUUAUGCCGACUCACCACUAAAUCAGGAAUCAGAUUUCUGUAAGACUUUGGGGGAGCAAUGUGACACAGUGACUAUAUCUUGUCAGAAGACUAAACCAGAAACUGUUCUGUAGAACAUUGUUUUAGUGCAGAAGCAUCCGAGACAA
rnacentral:lncRNA from 1 species